UGGGGAAUUUUGGACAAUGGGCGCAAGCCUGAUCCAGCCAUGCCGCGUGCGGGAAGAAGGCCUUCGGGUUGUAAACCGCUUUUGUCAGGGAAGAAAUCUUCUGAGUUAAUACCUCGGGAGGAUGACGGUACCUGAAGAAUAAGCACCGGCUAACUACGUGCCAGCAGCCGCGGUAAUACGUAGGGUGCAAGCGUUAAUCGGAAUUACUGGGCGUAAAGCGUGCGCAGGCGGUUUUGUAAGACAGAGGUGAAAUCCCCGGGCUCAACCUGGGAACUGCCUUUGUGACUGCAAGGCUUGAGUGCGGCAGAGGGGGGAUGGAAUUCCGCGUGUAGCAGUGAAAUGCGUAGAUAUGCGGAGGAACACCGAUGGCGAAGGCAAUCCCCUGGGCCUGCACUGACGCUCAUGCACGAAAGCGUGGGGAGCAAAACAGGAUUAGAUACCCUGGUAGUCCACGCCCUAAAACGAUGUCAACUGGUUGUUGGGAAGGUUCCUUCUCAGUAACGUAGCUAACGCGUGAAGUUGACCGCCUGGGGAGUACGGCCGCAAGGUUGAAACUUAAAUGAAUUGGCGGGGUCAUAGCUGUUU
rnacentral:rRNA from 1 species